UGACAGGAUUCUCCUGACGGCUGCUCAAU
rnacentral:piRNA from 1 species